rnacentral:rRNA from 1 species
GGCUCAGAUUGAACGCUGGCGGCAUGCCUUACACAUGCAAGUCGAACGGCAGCACGGGGCAACCUGGUGGCGAGUGGCGAACGGGUGAGUAAUGCAUCGGAACGUGCCAUUGAGUGGGGGAUAACGUAGCGAAAGUUGCGCUAAUACCGCAUAUUCUGUGAGCAGGAAAGCAGGGGACCGCAAGGCCUUGCGCUCUUUGAGCGGCCGAUGUCAGAUUAGCUAGUUGGUGAGGUAACGGCUUACCAAGGCGACGAUCUGUAGCGGGUCUGAGAGGAUGAUCCGCCACACUGGAACUGAGACACGGUCCAGACUCCUGCGGGAGGCAGCAGUGGGGAAUUUUGGACAAUGGGCGCAAGCCUGAUCCAGCCAUGCCGCGUGAGUGAAGAAGGCCUUCGGGUUGUAAAGCUCUUUCGGCCGGGAAGAAAUCGCAUGGGUUAAUACCCUGUGUGGAUGACGGUACCGGAAUAAGAAGCACCGGCUAACUACGUG